rnacentral:rRNA from 1 species
UACUAGAGUAGCACUCGCAUAUCAAUAAGCGGAGGAAAAGAAACUAACAAGGAUUCCCCUAGUAACGGCGAGUGAAGCGGGAGUAGCUCAAAUUUGAAAUCUUAAAGGGUUUCCCUUUACGAAUUGUAGUUUAAAGAAGUGUUUUCUGUUGAGGUUUUGGUAAAAGUUCUUUGGAAUAGGACAUCAUAGAGGGUGAGAAUCCCGUAUUUGACCUUUACUUUCAACUUUGUGAUACACUUUCAAAGAGUCGGAUUGUUUGGGAAUGCAGUCCAAAAUGGGUGGUAAAUUUCAUCUAAAGCUAAAUAUUGGCGAGAGACCGAUAGCGAACAAGUACCGUGAGGGAAAGAUGAAAAGAACUUUGAAAAGAGAGUUAAACAGUACGUGAAAUUGUCAAAAGGGAAGCGUUUGACACCAGUGUUGUUUUUCUGAAAAUCAAUUAAAGAACUGUUUAUGCUAAGUUGUUUAGACUUUAUCAGCUAAUCUGCUUAGUUUUGAGCUUUUCUUUAAUGCACUUUUCAGUUAACAAGUCAACAUCAAUUUCUUUUGCUGUAAAAAAGCUUGAGGAAGGUGGCUUGAGAUUCGUCUUAAGUGUUUAUAGCCUCUUGCCUAUGCAGUCGGAGAGAUUGAGGUCUGCAGCGUAGAUCCUUCGGGGCUAAAUGCAUUUGUGCUAAGUUAUAGCAUUUUAUAGACAACUUGUUGACUAUGAUUUGUCUUGUAGCUUACUCGCUUAUGUUAUUUUACCUACGCUUAGGAUGUUGAGUAGCGACAUACGCAC